CCUCGCGCCCGCGGCACCAGGCGGGGGCGGGGCCUUGGGCGGGCCUCACGCUGUGUCGGGGGCGGGGCCGACUUAGUCACGCCCCAGUGGGCUGGACCUGAUCCCCAGGCCAGCAGCCCACGUGGCGAGAGGAUGAAGCCUCGCAGGGCCCGGGACGUCAGCGAGUCAGUUCUCUGACUUGGAGCAAAGUUGGAUCUCAGGAUUCUGACAACUGGAGCUGGAGAGCAAGACAGAGACAGUGGUUUUGAAAGAAAGAGGCAAUUUUGUAACUUAAAAAGACCUGUAAUCCAUGGGUGUAAUCUGUUCAGCUAACAUAGGCAAUGCUGCUGCUGCUGCCGCUGCUGAGUCACUUCAGUCGUGUCCGACUCUGUGCGACCCCACAGACGGCAGCCCACCAGGCUCCCCCGGCCCUGGGAUUCUCCAGGCAAGAACACUGGAGUGGGCUGCCAUUUCCCUCUCCAAUGUAUGAAAGUGAAAAGUGAAAGUGAAGUUGCUCAGCCAUGUCUGACUCUUAGCGACCCCAUGGACUGCAGCCUACCAGGCUCCUCCGUCCAUGGGAUUUUCCAGGCAAGAUUACUGGAGUGGGGUGCCAUUGCCUUCUCUGAACAUAGGCAAUGAAUGGGGACAUGGUUCCAUCCCUGGUCCAGGAACUAAGAGUCCACCUGCCACAGAGCAAGUAAGCCCACGUGCUGCACCACGGAGCGCGUGUGCUGUAGAGCCUGUGCGCCGCGGGAGAAGGCCCUGCACGCAGCCAGAGGAAGCUCGCAUGCUGCAGUGAAGACCCGUCGCCGCCAAGAGGGGCUGAAGUGGGGCGGGAGCACAAUGUCGUGUGAGCUUCAGCUGCAGCACAGAGACUCAGGCAGCACACGAGGGAAGGCUUUUAAGACAAAUAAAUGGAGAGCCAUACAUGUCCAUUCACAGAAAGACUCAACAUAGUGAAGAUCUCAGUUCUCCUUAAGUUGAUCUACAAAUUAAUUAGAAUUCCAGUGAAAAUCCCAGCAAGUCUUUUUGUAGAUAGAGACGAGCUGCUUCUAAAACUUACACGUGGAGACGCAAUGAACAAGAAUAAGUUACACAGUUUUGAAAAAGAAGAAUAAAGUGUGAGAAUCACGUUUCCCAACUUAAAAUUCAGGGUGGCUUUCCUUUAGAAUUGACUGCCUUGAUCGCCCUGCAGUCAGACUUCCCAUGAGAAGCAAACUCCAUCGAAGCAACGAUGUGUGUCCUGAUGAUAGUGGUGGUGUCUGGAGGGAUGGUUGUUUGGAAAGCAGUCUGGCAAAGCGGAAAUGAUAUGUGACCUUUGACCUAGAACUUUCUCUCCCGGAAAUCAGGCCACCCCACAGAAGGAGGACACGGGGAGACUGUUUAGCUUUGCCUGUGGUGGCAGAAACACGGGCUCCUGGGGAGACUGUGCUGGACUCCCACUAGCACAGCCCCAGCCCUGUGUGAGGCUGACCCCAAGCUCCAGGUCCCGGGAGCACAGCAGAGAGGGCUCCAGCCGGGGAGAGGAGUGAAGAAGGAGGAGGGGGCAGAGCCAUGUGGAGCGAAGAGCCAGGUGUGGACCAGCGACAGCCGUGUGUGCACAGGCCGAGCACGGCAGCUCGUGGGAUGCCACGCAGAUGCAGGGGGUGUGUCAGCAGAGGAGAUAGUGGAGGACAGGGAAGCCUGGCGUGCUGCAGUCCACGGGGUCGCAGAGUUGGACACGACUGAGCAGCUGAACAGCAGCAACGAGCGAGUGCGGAGGAGCGAGGGGCACCUCGGGCGUCGUCAUUCCCGGGCACGGGCCGGCAGGAGGAACCCGCCGGAGGGUGCCACGCAGUGGAAGGUCCGCGAGAGGCAACACAGGACGCCUUGUGGAUGGGCGCGGGGUUGGCCACCAGCAUGAGGAACAGCCUGGAGGCCACCUGUAUUGGACGAUGGAGAAGCGGGAGACCCUGCUGGCCCUGGACUGAGCAGAAAUAACAGCCAAAUAUGAGGAAGUGAGGCCUGGCAGAGGUCAGAGCCCAGGACAGGCAGGGCCAGUCAUGGGCCCGGUGGAACCCAGGAAGGAUGCUGACCUCUGGCGGCACGAAGUCGCCGCACCUCUGCCGUGAGUCAUCAGGACGCCCCUCCUUCCCAUCUGGGGUGCAUUUCCAGGUGCUCAAAGACCUCUCUGGCGGAGAGACCCCUUGGUCUGGGGGUGGAAGGGCAGGCCAGGCCCCAGAGCAGAAGGAGGAGGAGGUGUGCGUGGGCAGGGACGGAGCUCCAGAGGUGGGGCUGAGGGUGCUGGGCUCCUGGAGGAGGGUAGCCUGGACCGGGCGAGAGCCUGGGCAACGGCUCACCUGAGGCUCUUGAGCCUGACCAGGCCUCCGCUCUCCUGGCAGGGCUGCUCAGGGCAGAGUGGGCGAUGGGCACUGGCAGGCAGAGGGGCACCUCCUGGGCUGCUGUGGGGACGCGGCCCAGCCCGAGCCAGCACCCUCCUGGGGUC
ensembl:lncRNA